CUUCCGAUCACCGGAAAAGUGUAGGGUCCCGGCGGGAGUUUCUUGUUUUUCUGAUUGGAUUUGGAAUUGGAGGAGAUAAGAUUAAAGAGGGAUUUGAGGAAGAAAUAGAUGCAGAGAGUGACGAUGCUGACAAACCAGGUUUCCAUGAUUUUUUACUUUGACGACUCUCCAGAAGGGAGAUAAGAUUAAAGAGGGACUUGAGGAAGAAAGAGAUGCAGAGAGUGACGACGAUGACAAACCAGGUUUCCAUGAUUUUUCACUUUGACGACUCUCCAGAAUUAACAGUACUUCUAUCUACAUAUAAUAUACCAAACUACCUUAAGUUAAUCCUAAACUUAAUUACCGUU
rnacentral:lncRNA from 1 species